AGAGUUUGAUCCUAGCUCAGGAUGAACGCUGGCGGCGUGGAUAAGGCAUGCAAGUCAAGGGGGCCGCAAGGCAACCGGCAGACGAGGUAGUAAUAAAUAGGUACGUACCAAAGAGUUGGGCAUAGCUAUCCGAAAGGGUAGGUAAUUCCCAAUAGUCCCUUGACGCAAGUCUAUGGGUAAAGGAGCAAUCCGCUCUAUGAACGGCCUAUUCGGUAUCAGCUAGUUGGUGAGGUAAAAGCUCACCAAGGCUAUGACGCCUAGGGGACCUGAGAGGGUGACCCCCACCGAUGGAACUGAGAUACGGUCCAUACACCUACGGGUGGCCGCAGUCGAGAAUCUUCCGCAAUGGACGCAAGUCUGACGGAGCGACGCCGCGUGAACGAUGAAGUCCUUAGGGAUGUAAAGUUCUUUUGCCAGGGAGAAAGUUUAUUGAUAGUACUUGGCGAAUAAGAGGUUGCUAAACUCGUGCCAGCAGCAGCGGUAAUACGAGUGCCUCAAGCGUUAUCCGGAAUCAUUGGGCGUAAAGGUUGUGUAGGUGGUCAUAUUAGUCUCUUGUUAAAUUCUUCGGCUUAACCGGGGGCAUGCAAGGGAAACGGUAUGACUAGAGGAUGCGAGGGGUCUGCGGAACUCAUAGUGUAGCGGUGAAAUGCGUUGAUAUUAUGGGGAACACCAAAAGCGAAGGCAGCAGACUGGAGCACUCCUGACACUGAAACAAGAAAGCGUGGGUCGCGAAUGGGAUUAGAUACCCCAGUAGUCCACGCCCUAAACGAUCUUCUCUAGUUUUUCGGAGUAUCGACCCUCUGAGAGACGAAGCUAACGCGUUAAGAGAAGCGCCUGGGUAGUACGACCGCAAGGUUAAAACUCAAAGGAAUAGACGGGGACUUGCACAAGCGGUGGAUCAUGUGGCUCAAUUCGACGGUAAACGAAGAACCUUACCAGGGUUUGAAACCUAGCUGAAUACUUUAGGAAACUAGAGUAGUCGCAAGACAGUUAGGCAGGUGAUGCAUGGCCGUCGUCAGUUCGUGGCUUGAGUUGUUCCCUUCAGUGGGGUAACGAACGCAACCCUCGUUGUCUGUUAUAUUUGUCAGGCGAGACUGCCCACGACAAAGCGCAUAGAUCAAUUCAGUUUGAUUGUGCUCUGUGUCGUGGGAGGAAGGUGAGGAUGACGCCAGGUCAGCAUGUCCCUUAUACCCUGGGCUACACACGUGAUACAAUGGACGGUACAACAGGACGCUAAACCGAUAAAAGGUGGAGCAAAUCCUUAUAAAGCCGUCCUCAGUUUGGAUUGAGGUCUGCAACUCGACCUCAUGAAACCGGAAUUGCUAGUAAUCACAGGUCAGCUAUACUGUGGUGAAUACGUUCUCAAGUCUUGUACUCACCGCCCGUCAACUCAAGGGAGUUGGGAAUACCCGAAGUCUGCGCUUGUCGCGGCCUAAGGUAAGCUCAAUGACAGGGAGUAAGUCGUAACAAGGCACGGGUAGCGGAAGCUGCUCGUG
rnacentral:rRNA from 1 species